GAGAGCAUUGCUAUGUCGAGGUGGCGGGAAUUUCUAAUUCUUAGUCUGGAGGUUGACGCCCUCCUGUUCUUU
rnacentral:tRNA from 1 species